UUAACCCAAUUAACAACUCAACCCAUCAAAUUAAAUGAGUUAUGGGUUGACCCAACCCAUUUAACAAAAUGAGUUGGGUCAACCCAUAACUCAUUUAACCCUAAACUCAUUUGAUUAUGAGU
rnacentral:pre_miRNA from 2 species